CAUGUAGGCGGUCGUGCAAGCUUGGUGUGAAAUCCCGGGGCUUAACUCCGGGACUGCGUUGAGAACUGCACGACUAGAGUAACUGAGGGGCAGCCGGAAUUCCAGGUGUAGGGGUGAAAUCUGUAGAUAUCUGGAGGAAUACCGAUGGCGAAGGCAGCCUUCUGGCAUCAUAUUGACACUGAGGUUCGAAAGCGUGGUAGCAAACA
rnacentral:rRNA from 1 species